GUUCGAACGAUGAACCACUUUCGGUGGGGAUUAGUGGCGAACGGGUGAGUAACACGUGGGCAAUCUGCCCUUCACUCUGGGACAAGCCCUGGAAACGGGGUCUAAUACCGGAUAACACUCUCGCAGGCAUCUGCGAGGGUUAAAAGCUCCGGCGGUGAAGGAUGAGCCCGCGGCCUAUCAGCUUGUUGGUGAGGUAAUGGCUCACCAAGGCGACGACGGGUAGCCGGCCUGAGAGGGCGACCGGCCACACUGGGACUGAGACACGGCCCAGACUCCUACGGGAGGCAGCAGUGGGGAAUAUUGCACAAUGGGCGAAAGCCUGAUGCAGCGACGCCGCGUGAGGGAUGACGGCCUUCGGGUUGUAAACCUCUUUCAGCAGGGAAGAAGCGAAAGUGACGGUACCUGCAGAAGAAGCGCCGGCUAACUACGUGCCAGCAGCCGCGGUAAUACGUAGGGCGCAAGCGUUGUCCGGAAUUAUUGGGCGUAAAGAGCUCGUAGGCGGCUUGUCACGUCGAUUGUGAAAGCCCGAGGCUUAACCUCGGGUCUGCAGUCGAUACGGGCUAGCUAGAGUGUGGUAGGGGAGAUCGGAAUUCCUGGUGUAGCGGUGAAAUGCGCAGAUAUCAGGAGGAACACCGGUGGCGAAGGCGGAUCUCUGGGCCAUUACUGACGCUGAGGAGCGAA
rnacentral:rRNA from 1 species